ACAGCUGGAGCCCUGGCAUUUGGCUACUAACCAAAAGGUUGUUGGUUCAAACCUUCCCAGAUGUA
rnacentral:tRNA from 1 species